GAUGAACGCUGGCGGCGUGCCUAAUACAUGCAAGUCGAGCGAACAGACGAGGAGCUUGCUCCUCUGACGUUAGCGGCGGACGGGUGAGUAACACGUGGAUAACCUACCUAUAAGACUGGGAUAACUUCGGGAAACCGGAGCUAAUACCGGAUAAUAUAUUGAACCGCAUGGUUCAAUAGUGAAAGACGGUUUUGCUGUCACUUAUAGAUGGAUCCGCGCCGCAUUAGCUAGUUGGUAAGGUAACGGCUUACCAAGGCAACGAUGCGUAGCCGACCUGAAAGGGGGAAGGGCCACAAUGGAACUGAGACACGCUCCAGAGUCAGACGGGAGGCAGCAGUAGGGUAGCUUCCGCAAGGUCGGAAAGCAUGACGGAGCAACGCCGCGCGAGUGAUGAAGGUCUUCGGAUCGUAAAACUCUGUUAUUAGGGUAGAACAAAUUUGUAAGUAACUAUGCACGUCUUGACGGUACCUAAUCAGAAAGCCACGGCUAACUACGUG
rnacentral:rRNA from 1 species